CUACGGCAGGAUCAGUCUCUGAACAAAUAAUUCUGCUCUUCCCUGUUUUCAGCGUUUCUGUGGUUCCCUCCCUCAUUCUACAGCUGGGAGCACCAGGGACAGGGAAGAAGGAACUCCUGCAGCCGGGCCGGUUUCGUUGCUUUAAGCAACAGUGAUGUUUUUUCUGCUUUUCUGAAGGGUGUUUGUCCUGCCUCUAGCUGUUCAAAGUCCUAAUAUUGUUAUUGCUAAGAAAGGCAUUUGACACAGCUCCAGAGCAGUCACAGCCAACACCUCCAUGGCCCUUUGGGGGUUCUUGGAAACAAUAGGAAAUGGAUCAUCUUGACUGAGGUUACCUGUAGCUCCAGCCUCACUGAAAAACAUUGUUUUGAUAUAGGCAAGUGGUUUGAACAAGUUAUAUCCCAGGACCAUUGGCUCUGGAAGAGAAGAUACUGCCAGCUAUGAGCACAGUAAUAAGAUUACCUAGAAUCCCCAGAGAAACUAUCUUGGUCAGUGUGCAGAUUUCUGCCUUUCUGUGCCUCAUCUUUUAUAAAUAUAUAAGCAGGAAGAUAAUCAUUUUUAUCUCAGAAGAUGUGUUCUCGAGUUUUACUUCAUUAACACCUGCAUGGAGCCUGCAACAGAAAAUCAAUUCACUUUUAAAUCAAAAUCCUGGUUUCAAACACUGUUGGAUGUACUGAAACCAGACCUGUACACUGACAAAUUCACUUCCCAGCUAUCCCUGAGCACGUCAUUGGAACGUCAUCAAUGUCACUGAUGUCUUGCAUUAUCAACGAUGUACCAACAGUACAAGUUCUCCUACAAUUGUUUCAUUAAUUGAUAUGAAAAAGAUCAUCUAGAGAUCUAAAUAUAAAAAUCAUACCUGCAGAUGACAAAUAAAUGACUCAUUUUACAGUGACACACUUCCUCCUUUUCUUGUGCUACAGAAGGCAGUUUCAUACAGGUUCAUAACAUUUUCCACAAAAACAGUGGUAAAUAUUUUUUAUAUUGCCACAAAUACAUAAAAAUAUUUAUAUGUCUCUUUUCAGCCACAAACAAAGUUACGAGAAGACAUUGAAUAAUUCUAAAUGAACUAGUAAAUACAGUGGCACAGUGAAAAAUUUCCAUUCAAGGCAGGGUCUUAUGACCCAAAGAAACAAAAAAAUUUUCUUUUCCCAAUUAAAAUCUUAAGCUGUGUUUGAAGCAGUAUCUAGGAAUUCAAAUUCAGUAUGUUCAGUUAGCUUUUCUCUUCUACUGUGGUGUCUGAAAUAAAAUGUCAUUUUAAAACAAAUACAGCUGAAAGACACAUAUAUGGGGGAUUGCUGUUAAAAAAAAGGAUAAGACUUGACUGAAGUUAAAGGAAGAGUGCUGGAUUUCAGUCUUGGAAAGAUGAUUAAAUGUAUUAGAUAAAUUUAUCUGGCUAAUUUAGUCAGUAAGUGAACAGCAGAAGUGUUCAACAUCACAUUGUUUGAUCACUAUUGCAAUUCAGUUGUUGCUGAGUGGGGACACUGAAACAGAAAGGGAAAUUAAAUAGUCUGAAAAAAGAAAUUAAUCAAUCCAACGUUUGUUUCCAGAUGUCCAUUACCAGAAUUCACUUCUAGUCUAAUCUAGUCAUCCAAGAUUUGUGUUUAAACUGUCACUGGUGGUAUUCAGUUUAUUAAACCUCAGGUGGCCAGGCCAUUGUUUUCAGUGAAAGUUUAUGGCUUGAUGCAGUUGCCUAAGCCUAGAUAUCCAGCAGCAUUUGGAAGGAUAGCUGAGGAAAUCCAUAAACAUAUGUGAGACAGGAUCUGUGGGACACUCCAGAGGCCAGGAAAGAAGCCUUUAGACAUCUAAACCAGCAGGGGAUGCCCGUGGCUGGAAAACUGAAUUAGGUCCCGCUCCAUGCAAUGAACAGAGUCGACCUGUCAAGGAACCUCCCUCUACAGGUGGUGCUUGCACUUGGCCACAGGAAUUAACAUCACAUUAUGCUAGUUCAGAUAUUUUUUGUUGCAAAAAGAGCCUAGACACCCUGCAGAGGUAUAGUUAAUGGCUUACACAAGCCCCUUCAGUGGGAUGAGCCAAAUCCAAUCCUUGAUAUCUAAAGAAAACAAAGAGCAGAGCAGAAAUGCUGCUUUCCUUUUGCAGACUCCAAAAUAGUUGACAUAUUAUCAUCACCUGUUCCUCUGCAGGGAUUAUGCAUUGUUUUGCAAUUGUAAAAUCUUAGUCUCAGUAGAGCUGCUCUUUAGGUACUUCUAAAAUAACCAAUUCGGAAUCAUACAAAUUGCUCUGUUUUGGACAAGAUCCAUUUAACAGGUGACAAUACUGCUACACAGAUAAGUUUUCAAGGCCAGCAAGAAGUAAUCAGUUUACAAAUCCAAACAUUUUUCACUCCAAAAAUGUAGGUGCUGAGAUGUUUCAAAAGAAAAAACCAGUCCAUGCUGGGAUAAGAGCCUUGUUUUCAGAACAUCAAAGAGGG